rnacentral:lncRNA from 1 species
CGGCGGUAGUGGGUAGCUGCUGCUACUGCGGGACGGCGAUCUCGUUGGGCUUCAUUAGGGUCUCUUCUUGCCUCGAGCCCCCGGGCCCCGAGUUGGCCUGCUGCGUGGCGGAGGGAAGGCGGCCGCUGAAUGGGCCCAUUGUCUCGGCGAGCCCGAGAACGCGGCAGCAUCAAAAGGCGCCCUUGGGAUCAGAGGCGACCCGCCUCGCUUGAUCAUUUUCACGCUUUUGUCUUCGCCCGCGGAACGCUGUCAGUUCGGAUCGCUUUGGCCGCCGCCGCCGCCCGAGCGGGGCGAGAGGCCGGGGAGAGGGGGCGGCGGGGGAAACAGCUCCCCCGGGGAAGCCUGAGGCUGCUGGGCGAGGAGGACACAGGCAGCGGCAGCGCUCCUGCAGCUGAGGGAGGCGGCCGUGUGUGGACAAGGGCAAGGUGGCGAGCUGCCUGGAAUAACAGAAAACAAAUUCAUUUCAUUGCCUGCUGUUGGACAUAUAGCCCUGUCACCGUGAAGAGUAUUAUCCUAUCAAAUUUCAGAUCCCUUCUUCAGGCUAACUGCACCAAGUUUCCUCAGCUUUGGAAUGUAGAGCUAGACCUUCAACCCCCUCGGAAGAGCUAUGACAUGUUACUAAAGAAAGUUCAAGAGACUCUGGUUCACGUAUAAGAUCCCGGAAAGCACCUCUACAUCAAGGAUUUGGAUAGCAGACUUGCCAACAAAAUUGGGUGAGGCUGGAGUCUAAUUCAUAUUGCAUGAAUAUGAGAAAAUAGCAUCCUGUCUUCCCUGGUUCACAUUAAGGUGGCCAGAUGUGAAAAAAUAUCAAGGUUCCUAGACCUGCUGCAAUUUCCUGGCAUAUAAAACUGCUGCAGAUCAGAAGGAGCAGAAGAGUUGU